AAAAAUGGGGAGUGGGCCCGGCUUGUCAGUGGCUCGGCUGCUCUCUUUCUCUCUCUCGUUCUUUUCCCCAUCGUCUUCUACCUCCGGCCAGGCAGCAACGAGGCGGUGCGGCUCCGCAGGGCGCGGCGGGUACGGGGCCGGGGCGGCACGGCGGCGGCCAGGGAAGGCGCGGAGGAACUCCGGAGACCCACCGGCUGCGGCGGCGGCGCUUGGAGGGACAGGGCGCAUGGCCGCCAUGGCUGCGCCAUAGCCAAGCUCGGCUGCAAGUGGCUAGGACGACAGGAAGGGUUUCCGACCAAAUUGAUGAGGGGGCCUCUGGGGUGGUCUGUCCACGAUGAUCCCGCCGGCGGCGGAACGGCGGCCGGGGCGGCACAGCUACGACGGCGCACAUCCCAAAUUGAAGGGGCCGGAGAGUUCUAUUCUACAAGAGGUUUCUUAGGGCGCGAGGAUUUACCAUGGAACGGACGGACGACGAAGGGCGAAGACGCGUGGUGCGGUGUGGACGAAGCAGAGGUGGCUAGCGGUCGGCGACGUUCGCAGGUGUUCGACGUGUGCUCCUCGGCGUCCAGUGGCUACCCGGCUUCCUCAAUGGCGACGGCGGCAGCAAGACUCCUCCCCCCACUCCCUCCAACCUCCAGCUCCGGCCGGGGAGCCCCGCAAUGUGAUCUCUAG
rnacentral:lncRNA from 1 species